rnacentral:rRNA from 1 species
UGCCAGCCGCCGCGGUAAUACGGAGGGUGCGAGCGUUAAUCGGAAUUACUGGGCGUAAAGGGCGCGUAGGCGGUUCGGUAAGUCAGAUGUGAAAGCCCAGGGCUUAACCUUGGAAUUGCAUUUGAUACUGUCGAGCUUGAGUGUGGUAGAGGAAAGCGGAAUUCCGGGUGUAGCGGUGAAAUGCGUAGAUAUCCGGAGGAACAUCAGUGGCGAAGGCGGCUUUCUGGACCAACACUGACGCUGAGGCGCGAAAGCGUGGGGAGCAAACAGGAUUAGAUA